GAUGAACGCUGGCGGCGUGCCUAGUACAUGCAAGUCGAGCGAACGGACGAGAAGCUUGCUUCUCUGAUGUUAGCGGCGGACGGGUGAGUAACACGUGGAUAACCCACCUAUAAGACUGGGAUAACUUCGGGAAACCGGAGCUAAUACCGGAUGAUAUUUUGAACCGCAUGGUUCAAAAGUGAAAGACGGUCUUGCUGUCACUUAUAGAUGGAUCCGCGCUGCAUUAGCUAGUUGGUAAGGUAACGGCUUACCAAGGCAACGAUGCAUAGCCGACCUGAGAGGGUGAUCGGCCACACUGGAACUGAGACACGGUCCAGACUCCUACGGGAGGCAGCAGUAGGGAAUCUUCCGCAAUGGGCGAAAGCCUGACGGAGCAACGCCGCGUGAGUGAUGAAGGUCUUCGGAUCGUAAAACUCUGUUAUUAGGGAAGAGCAUAUGUGUAAGUAACUGUGCACAUCUUGACGGUACCUAAUCAGAAAGCCACGGCUAACUACGUG
rnacentral:rRNA from 1 species